rnacentral:lncRNA from 1 species
GAGUAGUGUCAUGUUUGGGGAGCAGAAUAGGAAGGUGGAAACGGACAUAUGGGAAGAAAACGGUAGCCAGAGCCCAAGCGCCACCAAGUUGGCACCAAACCAAAGUCUUUGGAAGAGAAUUACAGCUCUGUCUGAGUGAGGAUAAAGUGAUUGAUGUAGCAUAAAGGUCACAAUGAAUAAACAAAAUCUGAUUCAGAGACUAUGCCAAGCCAGGUGAUAAGAUCUUGAAGAACCAAGAUCCAGAGAGAAGUGAAAGGAAUCAGUGUUCCAUGGAACGGAAGUGCAUCAGGAAAGGAAAGAGAAAACAGAUUCAGACUAAAGCACGUGCCUGACAAUGUGUCUGCUGCAUUGCAUGAGGCAGCCUUGCUGCAGCCAACCAUAGUGGGGUCCAAUUAAGAGGCUUAAUUGAAGAAUUCCAAGUUAGCAGACUGUCCUGGCACUCAGAGGAUAUUGUGCCUGGUAAUGAUAGUGUUGAAUUGGACAGAAAGAAUAUUCACAAAGAUGCAGAAUUCUUGAAUACAGAGGGUUGACUGGGAGAUCUGACAUCUGCAGGUUUUGGUAUCCGUGGAAGGUUCUGCAACCAAUCUCUGGUGGAUGUGAGAGGUGAUUGUACUUAAGCUUCAAGAAAGGCCUCCUCUGCUAAAAAUGCUCUCUGAUUAGCCAUUCACUGCUUCCUGAACUAUGAAGACAUCUUCUAGGAAUACUCAGGAUCUUCUGCUAUGUGGCUUUAAUUUAUUUUAAGAUUAAUUCCUCAUUACCUUCUUACACAAAGCCACCAUUAGCAUAUCAAGCACAGCUGUACAAAUUUUUAAAAGGCCAAAAGAUGUAUCUGCCAAUUCUAGGAGGAUAUAAACCUGAAGGCACAAAUCUGGGCUGGAGCACAUGGUUUCCCUUGUGAGAAGAAAAAGUCUCCUUCCUCUGAAUGGACACACCUUGCACACCAGGGCACAAGGUUUGUCUAGAAGAGCACAGCUGAACAUCAUAAAGUGCAGAACCACACACCUGGCAUCCUUGUCCCUACACAAGAGAAAAAGCUUUCAGCUUGUCAACAUUGAGUAGGAUAAUCUUUUUAAGAUACAGUGCUGGAACAACUGGACAUCCACAUGUGGAAAGAUGAGUCUAGACACAGACCUUAUGUCCUUUCCAAAAAUUAACUCAAAUUGAAUCACAGACUUAAAUGUAAAAUGCGAAGUUGGCUGGGCGCAGUGGCUCACGCCUGUAAUCCUGGCACUUUGGGAGGCCGAGGCGGGUGGAUCACGAGGUCAGGAGUUUGAGACCAGCUUGGCCAACAUGAUGAAACCCCGUCUCUGCUAAAAAAUACAAAAAAUUAGCUGGGCGUGGUGGCGCGCGGUUGUAGUCCCAGCUACCCAGGUGGCUGAGGCGGGGGAACAGCUUGAACCCAGGAGGCAGAGGUUGCAGUGAGCCAAGAUCAAGCCACUGCACUCCAGCCUGCGGACGGGGCAAGACUCCGUCUCAAAAAAAAAAAAAAAAAAAAGCAAAGUUGUAAAAUGGCUGGAAGAAAACACAGGACAAUAUUUAGAUGAUCUUGGGUUUGGAGAUGUCUUUUAGACUUUUAGAAGCUAAUCUAAAAGAAGCUACACACGGCCGGGUGCUGUGGCUCACACCUGUAAUCGCAGCACUUUGGGAUGCUGAGGCAGGUGGAUCACCUGAGGUCAGGAGUUCGAAACCAGCCUAACCAACAUGGUGAAACCCCAUCUCCACUAAAAACACAAAAAAUUAGCCGGGCGUGGUGACACGCGCCUGUAGUUCCAGCUACUCCGGAGGCUGAGGCAAUAGAAUGGUGUGAACCUGGGAGGCGGAGCUUGCAGUGAGCUGAGAUCACACGACUGCACUCCAGCCUGGUGACAGAGCAAGACUCGGUCUCAAAAAAACCCAAACAAACAAAAAGAAGCUACAUAUUAUAUGAUUCCAACUAUAUGGCAUCCCGGAAAGGCAAAAUUAUGGAGAUGGUAAAGAGAUCAGUGAUUGCUGGGGGCUGGGGAGAGGAAGAAAUGAAUACAUGGAACACAGAGGGUUUCAGGGUCAGAAAAACUACUCCUUGUGUGAUACUAUAACGGUGGAUACAUGUCAUUAUGUAUUUAUCCAAACCAAUAGAAUGUACAACACCAAGAGUGAACUCUAUUGUAAACUAUAGACAUUGGGUUAUAUCGUUGUGUGCUAUGGUCUAAAUGUUUAUCCCCACCACCACUAAAUUUAUAUGUUGAAAUCCUAACCUUCAAGGUGAUAGUGUUAGAAGAUGGGACCUUUUCGAAGUGGAGCCCUCGUGAUUGGGAUUAACACCCUUAUGACAGAGACCACAGAGGGCUGGCUAGUCCUUCUAUACUGCCAUGUGUGUACAGUAAAGAGAUGAUUGUCAAUGAACCAAGAAGCGGGCCCUCAGCAGACACUAAAUCUGCUGACACCUUGAUUUUGACUUCCCAGUUUCCAAAACUAUAAGAAAUAAAUUUCUUUUUUAAUAAGCUACACAGUUUAUGGUAUUUUGUUAUAGCAGCCUGAAGAGAGUAAAAGGAUGUAGAAAUAUAGGUUCAGUAACCAUAACAAAAGUACCACUCUGUGGAAGAUGUUAGUAAUGUGAGAGGCUAUGAAUGAGGUGGCGAGGAGGUGGUAUAUGGGAAAUGUCACUUUGUUCUGUUCAGUUUUGCUGUGAAUCUAAAACUGUUCUAAUAGAUAAAGUUGAAUACAAUAUUAAAACAACAACAUGUUACUGUCUUUGUAACUAUUCAAUGACAUUUAGGCAGGGCAGAGGCUAUUGGACAUUAUAUAUAUCCUUAAAGUCUCCCUUUAUAUAUAUACACACAGAUAUAAAUAUAUAAGUAUAGAUAAAGAUGAAGCCUAAAAACCUAGUUUAAUUAUGUUAAAUUUCAUUAGGGAAUAUGUAAUUUUACCUCUCGCUUUUAUUAUAAUGGUCUUGACUUGAGCUGGCCAUGCACAUUUUCACCAUGCUGAAUUUAAAAUUGGGCUACUUUAUAGAGUUUUGAACAAAAUGCUGAUUCCCCUCAGACUCUUUACAACAUUGCUCUGAAUCAUAUGAAUUGCCCUUAAUCAAUAAAGCAGCACUCAUUUGACUGGCCCUGUAAUGUGUAACCUUCUAUUUCCAAAUAUGGUAAACAUAGAGAAGCCAUCUAUGUGAGAAGGUUUGAGUAGGCUUUACUCCCAUUUACCCUAGUAUUGAUUUCUAUAUAUGGCAGGAAGGAGGAAAAGGGAUGUUUUCAUCCCUUCUCAGUUCCUAUCCCUAAAUUUUUAUCUUACCAAGAACUCAAAUGCUGUUUCCUU